rnacentral:rRNA from 1 species
UACGGAGGAUUCAAGCGUUAUCCGGAUUUAUUGGGUUUAAAGGGUGCGCAGGCGGAGGCACAAGUCAGCGGUAAAAUCGCGGGGCUCAACCCCAUCCAGCCGUUGAAACUGGGGAUCUAGAGUGUGCGAGAGGUAUGCGGAAUGCGUGGUGUAGCGGUGAAAUGCAUAGAUAUCACGCAGAACCCCGAUUGCGAAGGCAGCAUACCGGUGCACAACUGACGCUCAGGCACGAAAGCGUGGGUAUCGAACAGG